CUCAAAAAUCCAGUAUACAUGAGUUCUCUUUAAAUCUCAACAGAGCAGCACUAUAGUCAUAAAGGCAGUCGCAGUAUAUUUCGGCUAUGAGUGAAACGCAUGGCGGCGGUCUCAGCCGUGAGCAGUUCCCCCGCCGAACACGACUCCAGCUCGGGCACGAGAACCAGCGCGGCGCGGCGCGGCGCGGCGCAGUUACGGUGGAAAUUACUUCUGUUUAACGUUUAAUUUUUACUUUGAAUGUUUGUUAAGCGAGUUUAAAUAUGGGGAAUAUCUAUAGCCUAUUAAAACGAUAUAAAUAAUGCUGUAAAUGAUACAUAAAGGAAAUUAAAGGAAGUUAUCAUGCAACCAGUGGUUGUGUGGAGUAGGCUAUGUUAGAAAAAAAUAGAGGAUUUAAAUUAAUCUGUAAACAUUAUUUAAUGUAUGAAGUAAAAAAAAAAAAAAAAAAAAAAAAA